rnacentral:lncRNA from 1 species
GUGGAUCGUAAAUCCCCUCCACAAACAGUGACGAGAAGUUGGAAUACCGGUUUCCAACAAGAUUAAGCUGACCGGAAACAUUGAGGAGGAGUUGGCUCUCGGUGUAUUCGCCUUUAUUGGAGUAAGGGGUCUCUUUCUGUAAGGUUGAAUCAUAUUUCCGGGCCAAUAACGCCCGAACAAAGGGCCAAGCGAUAGAAUCUCCAUCUCUAAGUCAGCUUUUGCUAGAGAAGAUUUAGGAAACGGAUCAGGUACAGCAGCUAUGUGAAGGGUAAGAUCUUCAGCUAAAAGAGAGAGGCUAUAAUGAAAAUUCCCCAAUGUCUUCUAUUUUGGGAAACUUCAAGAGUGAUUUCUUAAUCACAGUCCCAAAGUUAAAAGGCUCGUCUCUCUCGAGGAUAGCACCAGCAGAAGCAAUCUUAGAGUAGUGUAAUAUGGAUGAGUAGCAGUGAAUUGAUCCCAUAACUCAGCAGGACGGACUAGCUUUUCAAAUGCUAACGGGAAAUAUGGCGAAUGAGAGGUAUCAAUGCUCGACAUAGUACCAAGAAGUAUGCUACGCUGUUUUAUGGAGAAAGAAAGAGGAACAUACAAGCAGAUGCGAGUAUCACAGCCACUCCCGUCCGAGCAACCAACCAUGCAGAGCUGUCCGCUCGAAGACUUCCAUAUCCCUUCAGCUGAAAGAGUCAUGUUACCAAGCCCGGUCCUUUGUGCUGCAGUGAAACGAUUCUCGGAAGGAGGAACAGCUCUGAACACGGAAGACACCCUCGUGACCAACCACUGUCCUUUGAAGUCAUAUUCUCACAGCGGACAUCUUGAAGAACGAGCUUCACAUUUUUGAAGCUCCCAUCGGUAGCAUUAAUCUCCUUAUCCGACGCAAACGGGCCUAACCUACUGCAGAAAUCAUCCGUGCCAUUGCACUUCCAGUUUGGCUAGAAUGGUCAGGGCUUCUUGGUGAGUGAACCUCUCGAGUAUGUCACAGAAGUCAAAGCCCUUUAUAUACAUCAAUAUCACCAUUAACAAAGCUAUCUUUAUACGGAUAAGGAUCACAAGCUUUUGAGACAAGAUUUUCAGAGNGACUCUCCCAAAAACAUGAUAGUAGAUUUUAUAAAGCGAAAUUAAUACCCGAAUUAUUGACUUUUUAAGAACAGAACCCCAAAACACUAUAACUCAUACACAAAUCUCAUAAGAUCAUUAGCCAUAUUAUAUAUAGUAGUGAGAUUUUGCUUUGCUGAAUCUCUACCUACCAACCCAUCCAAAUUCUACUAAAAUGACCACCAUUUCAAUUUAUACACAACAAAAAUCAACUGCAUGUUCCAGUGUGGAAGUAGGCCAACAUUCAGAAGAUAUAUAUCUUAUAAUUCAUAAAGCACAUUAUAAGACAAAAGGGAAUGAAACUGGCCUUGCUCUUAAGCUAGAAUUUUUUUUUUUGUAUCGGAAAAAGUUAAUGUUAGAUGUGCUCUUAAGCUAGAAUUGAUUUGUCAUUUACAUCUAAAACUACACCUUUGUCAGAGAAGUCAGAUAUAUGAAUCCUGAUCAUUAUGUGUCACGUCCCUCCUCGCACGUCGAGUUCUUGUUAACACCAGAAGAAAGCUCAGCCUCAUGAGAUACAGAGGGCAAUCUCUCAUACACUUUGGAACCCAAAGGCAAAAACUUUGCUCUGCCCAAUCGAAGCGUUUGGCUGAGCCUCUCAUAAUUCCAUCUCUGCUGAAUAUAAACAGCAGCUGCUAGAAGAACCGCGAUUGCCGGUAUAGCAACAUCACCAAACUUGGAAAAGAAAUCCAUCCGAGGAUUCACAAAUUCAUACUCCUCGGAGAAGUAAGGAUUCGGUAUGGCGAUGUUAUGUAAUCAUAUGCGUGGGGCAGAAGCCGGACGGAAGUUAUCCCGAUGUAGUACAGCUCCCGCAGAGGUUUGACAUUGAUUCUCCACAUAAAGUUAGCAAUGACCUGAGGAAGGAGGAAGAAGUCCUGAACCAGGCCCAGAUACUCCUCCAGCUCCGUCUCCCAUUCGCGUAUCACAUGUGAAUAACCCGUGGAAUCGACAAAAUGUGCCGUUUGAAGAGGUUUGUAACUUGUAUUCACAUAGUGCACAAUGAGAGCAAUGAUAUAUCCAAUAACAUGUAGGCUUAAGGUUGAGAAAAGUACUUUCUUGUCACUUGGAACACGGUGAGGCUCGAGAGGGGCGCGUGUCUGCAAUCUGAUGCGCGAUUUCCACACCUUCUGGCAGAGCCGAAGAGUUAGUGAAAAUGCUACCAGUACGAGGACCUUCACAGUGUAGUCGAUUACGUGCAGCCAUUGGCUGUUCUGUAGGUCAUCAGAUUGGCUUUCACUGAACUCCGUGGAUGCCUUUUUCAAGAGAGCUUCGGCGCCUGUGAUUAGAGGGAAGCUGUACCCUAGAGCUUGUACUCCCAGCAUCACGAGAGAUACAUAAGGAACGGAUUCCGUGUUACCUCUAAUGUAAAACAACUGGCUCAAAAUGCAAGCGAUUGCAACGGAGAGUGUCAAAAUGCGGAGGAUUCCCUCCAUGCCUCUACGUGAAAUAAUGUCUUCGCGCUGCCUUCUAUACAUGAUGGGAACUGUUUGGAGCUUCGCUGGAACAAAGUAGAGUGGAUCAUCUUCACUCCGGUGGCUAGUGAUCGAGAUUCUGGCAGUCGGAUUGACCAACCACCGGGCUGUAGUCGGGGGAUAUGAAAUCAUCACCUCGACCAAGCAAUCCAGCCCGGCUUCAAGGUCCAUGCUUUCAUAUAAGGUCUUCCACGAGGCUCGAACAUCCCUGCAACCAACUAGAUACAUCUUUCCAACGUGUGGAUCGUAAAUCCCCUCCACAAACAGUGACGAGAAGUUGGAAUACCGGUUUCCAACAAGAUUAAGCUGACCGGAAACAUUGAGGAGGAGUUGGCUCUCGGUGUAUUCGCCUUUAUUGGAGUAAGGGGUCUCUUUCUGUAAGGUUGAAUCAUAUUUUCCGGGCCAAUAACGCCCGAACAAAGGGCCAAGCGAUAGAAUCUCCAUCUCUAAGUCAGCUUUUGCUAGAGAAGAUUUAGGAAACGGAUCAGGUACAGCAGCUAUGUGAAGGGUAAGAUCUUCAGCUAAAAGAGAGAGGCUAUAAUGAAAAUUCCCCAUGUCUUCUAUUUUGGGAAACUUCAAGAGUGAUUUCUUAAUCACAGUCCCAAAGUUAAAAGGCUCGUCUCUCUCGAGGAU